rfam:Tupaia chinensis contig172425, whole genome shotgun sequence.
UGGUCAUUACCAAGGCUUAUGGAAUGCAGUUCCUCAUUUGCUGUGGACAUGACCAUAAAGAAAUUUCCCACUAGGUUUUCUAUCUGCUACAUUGUUAUGUUGCUAGAAAUCAGCCUAUUGGGAACAUUU